GGCGUGAACCAUUUCAAGCUAUAAGAAUCGACCGAACAAGAUCCGCCCCCUCUUCCUCUCUUCUUCUCGUUCUUGGUCCUCGGACACGCUGCUCUCCUGUGCGACCCUCUGUGCGGCCUCGUGCCGCGCUCAUUUCAGCCCCCCUCAGCACAGGGGCUGAGAGAAAAAGCCAUUUUAAUGGCUCCUUUGGAAGCUUUCGUUCUUUUCUUUUCUUUACUAAGUUUAUUCGACUAUUCGCCUCUCCACACAAGGAAGACGAAUUCUGGAACAUUGUUUGUUGAACCUUUCAAAUACCGCACGAGGACAGAACAAAGGACCACGUGCUACACGCUCACGCCAAGAUCAAGCGCAGCGUGCACGCGCGUCACAUGGCCUCCAGGACCACGCAAGCUGUUUUCAAAAGGAACAGCGUGCAAAGCUCACACGCUCGACGCCGAUCUCACGCCACGCACACUGGGCCAUGCAAGUAUCAGUUUCUCUAUGGAGAUUUAAAUGCUGCUUUAAAGUGUUGCUAUGAUCUGAUCGUUGUUGGCUUCCAAAAGUUACUGACUAUGAUUUCCAUACCUGAGCUCCUUAUGUGAUCUCAUUCUAUUUUCUCUUUCUUUCUCUCUCUCUCUCUCUCUCUCUCUCUCUUUUAUUUGGAUUCCGUUAUGUCUUGUAUAAAGCUUACUGUUUGUAUUGUCGUACGCAUAUUUACUCUGUGUGAUUUGUAGUUUGAUGUAUUACUAGUUGAUUUAUUAAAAACCCAUAUACUGACGAUUGGCUUGGACUCCACCCCACUUACAUUACGAGUCACUGAGAUGUCUGAUCUUUAGCUACAAGCUUUAAAUUUAGAAACUAAAUUUAUCAUAAGGAUAGGAUAAUGUUUUCAUGGCCAGAGAAUAUUUUUCCUUGAAUUAUAAGGCGUGAUAACUUUAUUGAAAAUUGAUAGGUCAACAGUGGUUUGCUGGACAAACCAUUGUUUGAGUUGCAGUAAUUUACGGUAAGAAAUAUCACAAUAAUUGAUAUGAAGAAUGGAAUAUUGACAUUAAUGAGUAAGUUACAGUACCCUGUGAUUAUUUAUUGGUAUAAGCAAUUGAGCUAUUUUUCAUAAUCAAUCAAAUUUAAUGUAACUGUCAUCUGAGGUAUAAAUUAAUCAUAUUCCUGAUUAAUUAUUCAAAUUCCCUAUAUAUCAUUUGAGUUAAUUAUUCUGUAAAACUCAUUGUUGUUACAAUAUAAUAUUGAGAUUUGGCCCCCAGCACUCUGAGGAUGUUUGGGGCCAAACAGGAGCUGCGCGCUGUUUGUAGUGUGGACUGCUGCUACCAUCUGCUCUCUGAAGAGUUUGAUCACGACAGACAGGGUAAGAACACACACACACACACACACACACACACGGGCAGAUCAGUCUCUAUCAGAACAAGACAAGCUCUGUGGAAAUGCAUUUCUCUGUAUAAUAUAUAUUUUUUUCCAGCAAUGUGCAGCCCUGUAUCAAAAAAGUAAAAUAAUAAUAUUCAAAUGUGUUAUUAUUUUAUAAUUAAUAUUUUUGUUCUUGAUUGUUUAGUUAAAAUUUUUUUAAAAAACACAAAAAUCUAACCUUUCAUUGUGUAAUAAUAAUUUAAAAUGGGGGGAAAUAUCAUUAUGAAAUAAAUGUUUUUUCUCUAAUACACAUUGGCCACAAUUAACGACACCCUUUUAUUCAAUACUUUUUGAAACCUCCAUUUGCCAGUUUAACAGGUCUAAAUGUUCUCCUAUAAUGCCUGAUGAGGUUAGAGAACACCUGACAAGAGAUCAGAGACCAUUCCUUCAUCCAGAAUCACUCCAGAUCCUUCAGAUUCCCAGCUCCUUGUUGGUGCUUCUCCUCUUCAGUUCACUCCUCUCAUUUUCUAGGGUUCAGGUCAGAGGACUGGAAUGGCCAUAGCAGAAGCUUGGUUUUGAGUUCGGUGACCCAUUUCUGUGUUGUUUUCAACCCGGGAUUAUUGUACGGUUGGUUGAUCCAAACCUGGUACAUUAUCACAUUUCUAACAGAGUCAAUCACUUUUAGAUUUUUUAUCUGUUGGUAUUUGACAGAAUCAAAGAAGCCAUGUGUCUAAACAAGAUGUCCAGGACCUUCAGCAGAAAUAUAGGUCCACAACAACAAAAAUACAGCAGUAUAUUUCAUUGUACACAUGAGGUACUUUUUAUCUCUGUGUUCACCUAAACCAUCUUGAGUGUUUGCUGCUAAAAUGCUAAUUUUUUUGUUUUUGUUUCAUCUGAUCAUAGAAGCCAUUCCCCUUUAAAGUUAGUCAUGGCUGAUAACUGAAUAUCCUGGAGUUUGUUUUUAGAUGAGCUACGAGAAUUUUUCUUGAAACCCUCCUAAACAACAUGUGUUGAUGUAGGUGCUGUUUGACAAUUUUUUAAAGGUUUUCUGAACCAGAGACUCAACUAUUUUCAGCAAAUUGUCCAGCUGUGAUCCUUGGAGAGUCUUUAGCUACUCAAACUCUCCUUCUCACCGCACAUUAGGACGAUAUAGACACACGUCCUCUUCCAGGCAGUUUCGUAACAUUUUCUGUCGAUUGGAAAUUCUUAAUUAUUACCCUGAUGGUGGAAAUGUGAAUUUUCACUGCUCUAGCUCCUUUGUUAAAGUCACUUUCUAAUUUGUGAAGCUCAAUUAUCUUUUACUGCACAUCAGAAAUAUAUUAUUCGGUUUUUCUAGAAGUGCUAUUAACAGAUGCCCAGGCUUUGUUCUUCAAGGCUAAAGUAGCAGCGUGUAACCAAGUAAUAAAUGUAGCUUGCAGUUCUCUCUCUCAGUGAAAAUAAUCACUAUUGCUCUAGUAACCAGCAGCAGUAGUGGUUUUAACCAUCAUGCAAAACAUGUAAGUGUGUGGGACCCUCCUUCCUUGGAACUUGAUUUGUACCGAGGGGGCCUGGGGUCUUGACGUUGCUUGGGGGCCACAAAGUGGUAAAGCCACCUCUGACCAGUCGGCUCUGGUGGUCAGACUUUGCAGUUGGUUUGAAUGUAUUUCAUCACCAAAUGAUUAAUGUAUUUACGAUCUGCCAAAAGAACAUAUUUUGGUUUUGUAUCCAAACAUAUUGUGUGUUGAUGCAGAAGAGAUGGUGAAGGAAAUCACACCGGGAUACUAUGAUGAUGUCAUCACUGAUGGACUGAAACCAGAUCGUGAGACAGAUGUCACUCUCUUACUCUACAACAGCAUAGAAUAUACUUUAAUUUAAAAUAUUACUGUACAUUUAGUUAGAUUUUUUUUACUGAAUUAAAUGAAAGUGAAAGUGAGACUGAUGAAUGUGUAAAUUUGUAGAAGACACUCCUGAGAGCUAUGAUGAUGUCAUGACAAGCGGACUAAACUCUGAUAUCAGAAAAGUUGACACAGCAGAGAAUUAUGAUGAUGUCAUAGACAGAUCUCUCAAGGGGAAACAGAGAGAGUUCAGAAGGAGUAUGAUGAUGUCAUGAGUGUCAGUGAAGAUGUGACAAACCUGUUGAAUUAUGAUAAUAUGGAGGAGGAGUCAAACAAAGAAUGGGGUCAUUUGGCUCAAUGAUGUCAUCCACUGCUUCAGUUCAUCACAUCUGAACUAAUGCUGAGUUAUUGAUAUAUCGAUAUUGUUAUUAAUAUGUCCAAUCUCACAUUUUUUUUGUAUUAAAUCUGUUAUGCCUUUGUAGAUUUUGUUGGAUUC